rnacentral:snRNA from 1 species
GUGCUUGCUUCAGCAGCACAUACACUAAAAUUGGAAUGAUACAGAGAAGGUUAGCA